CGGGCGCGGCGCCGGUCUAAGUCCCUUGGAACNGGGNGUCAGAGAGGGUGAGAGUCCCGUACGCGACCGGUGACCGAGCCUAUGGGAAACCCCUUCGACGAGUCGAGUUGUUUGGGAAUGCAGCUCAAAACGGGUGGUAAAUUUCAUCUAAAGCUAAAUACCGGCCAGAGACCGAUAGCGCACAAGUAGAGUGAUCGAAAGAUGAAAAGCACUUUGGAAAGAGAGUCAAAAAGUACGUGAAAUUGUUGAAAGGGAAGCGCUUGCAACCAGACCUGCCCGCGGGCGAUCAGCCGUCCUUCUGGGCGGUGCACUCGCCCGCGAUCAGGCCAGCAUCGGUUCGGGCGGUCGGAUAAAGGCCUCGGGAACGUAGCUCCCUUCGGGGAGUGUUAUAGCCCUUGGUGCAAUGCGGCCUGCCCGGACCGAGGACCGCGCUUCGGCUAGGAUGCUGGCGUAAUGGUUGUAAGCGGCCCGUCUUGAAACACGGACCAAGGAGUCGACCAACUAUGCGAGUGUUUGGGUGUCAAACCCACACGCGCAAUGAAAGUGAACGGAGGUGGGAACCCCUCGCGGGGCGCACCAUCGACCGAUCCAGAUGUCUUCGGAUGGAUUUGAGUACGAGCAUAGCUGGUCGGACCCGAAAGAUGAUGAACUAUGCCUGAAUAGGGUGAAGCCAGAGGAAACUCUGGUGGAGGCUCGCAGCGGUUCUGACGUGCAAAUCGAUCGUCAAAUUUGGGCAUAGGGGCGAAAGACUAAUCGAAUCAUC
rnacentral:rRNA from 1 species